rnacentral:ncRNA from 1 species
UGAUCAACGAUGAAAGGGACAGUAGCUCUUUCAUAUGCUUAUUGUAGCGAGCUGGGGACGGUGGAAGCCCGGCAUAAGCGAAAGAGUGAAGAUCACCCUGGAGUUCCCACGCUGAAUUUGUGAGUAAGCGAUGGCGCGUCAUUCCCGUUACGAAUGUAAAGAGGGCUAUCAUACAUAGCCAAUAAGGGUGGUACCGCGAGGCCGUUCUCGUCCCUUUU